rnacentral:rRNA from 1 species
UUGAACGCUGGCGGUAUGCUUAAGACAUGCAAGUCGAACGGGGCCCUUCGGGGUUCAGUGGCGGACGGGUGAGUAACACGUGGGAAUCUGCCCAAUAGUGGGGGACAGCCCGGCGAAAGCCGGAUUAAUACCGCAUACGCCCUACGGGGGAAAGGCGCAAGCCGCUAUUGGAUGAGCCCGCGUAAGAUUAGCUAGUUGGUGAGGUAAAGGCCCACCAAGGCAACGAUCUUUAGCUGGUCUGAGAGGAUGGCCAGCCACAUCGGGACUGAGACACGGCCCGGACUCCUACGGGAGGCAGCAGUCGGGAAUAUUGGACAAUGGGCGCAAGCCUGAUCCAGCAAUACCGCGUGGGUGAAGAAGGCCUGCGGGUUGUAAAGCCCUUUCGACGGGGAGGAAGGCACCGGCGCGAAUAGCGUUGGUGAUUGACGUAACCUGGAGAAGAAGCACCGGCUAACUCCGU